rnacentral:rRNA from 1 species
GAUUGAACGCUGGCGGUAUGCUUAACACAUGCAAGUCGAACGGAAACGAUACUAGCUUGCUAGUAGGCGUCGAGUGGCGGACGGGUGAGUAACGCGUAGGAAUCUACCUGAUAGUGGGGGAUAGCCCGAAGAAAUUCGGAUUAAUACCGCAUAAUCUAUUCGUAGUAAAGUGGGGGACUUUCGAGCCUCACGCUAUCAGAUGAGCCUGCGUAAGAUUAGCUAGUUGGUAGGGUAAAAGCCUACCAAGGCGACGAUCUUUAGCUGGUCUGAGAGGAUGAUCAGCCACAUCGGGACUGAGACACGGCCCGAACUCCUACGGGAGGCAGCAGUGGGGAAUAUUGGACAAUGGGGGCAACCCUGAUCCAGCAAUACCGCGUGUGUGAAGAAGGCCUGAGGGUUGUAAAGCACUUUCAAUUGUGAAGAAAAGCUAGUGGUUAAUAGCCAUUAGCCUUGACGUUAACUUUAGAAGAAGCACCGGCUAACUCCGUGCCAGCAGCCGCGGUAAUACGGAGGGUGCAAGCGUUAAUCGGAAUUACUGGGCGUAAAGCGUGCGUAGGCGGUUUAUUAAGUCAGAUGUGAAAGCCCCGGGCUUAACCUGGGAACUGCAUUUGAAACUGGUCAACUAGAGUAUGGUAGAGGAAAGUGGAAUUUCUGGUGUAGCGGUGAAAUGCGUAGAUAUCAGAAGGAACAUCAAUGGCGAAGGCAACUUUCUGGACCAAUACUGACGCUGAGGUACGAAAGCGUGGGUAGCAAACAGGAUUAGAUACCCUGGUAGUCCACGCCGUAAACGAUGAUAACUAGCCGUUGGGGGGAUUUACCCCUUAGUGGCGAAGCUAACGCGUUAAGUUAUCCGCCUGGGGAGUACGGCCGCAAGGUUAAAACUCAAAGGAAUUGACGGGGACCCGCACAAGCGGUGGAGCAUGUGGUUUAAUUCGAUGCAACGCGAAGAACCUUACCUGGUCUUGACAUCCUGAGAACUUUCUAGAAAUAGAUUGGUGCCUUCGGGAACUCAGUGACAGGUGCUGCAUGGCUGUCGUCCGCUCCCUGUCGUGAGAUGUUGGGUUAAGCCCCGUAACGAGCGCAACCCCUAUCCUUAUUUGCCAGCACAUCAUGGUGGGAACUAUAAGGAGACUGCCGGUGAUAAACCGGAGGAAGGCGGGGACGACGUCAAGUCAUCAUGGCCCUUACGACCAGGGCUACACACGUGCUACAAUGGGAAGGACAAAGAGCCGCGAAGCCGCGAGGUGUAGCUAAUCUCAGAAACCUUUUCGUAGUCCGGAUUGGAGUCUGCAACUCGACUCCAUGAAGUCGGAAUCGCUAGUAAUCGUAGAUCAGAAUGCUACGGUGAAUACGUUCCCGGGUCUUGUACACACCGCC